GAUGAACGCUGACAGAAUGCUUAACACAUGCAAGUCUACUUGAACUUCGGUUUGGGUGGCGGACGGGUGAGUCACGCGUAAAGAACUUGCCUCACAGUUAGGGACAACAUUUGGAAACGAAUGCUAAUACCUGAUAUUAUGAUUUUAGGGCAUCCUAAAAUUAUGAAAGCUAUAUGCGCUGUGAGAGAGCUUUGCGUCCCCGUAGCUAGUUGGAGAGGUAACGGCUCACCAGGGCGAUGAUGGGUAGCCGGCCUGAGAGGGUGAACGGCCACAAGGGGACUGAGAAACGGCCCUAGCACUUACGGGAGGCAGCAGUGGGGAAUAUUGGACAAUGGACCAAAAGUCUGAUACAGAGAUUCUGUGUGCAAGAUGACGUUUUUUGGAAUGUAAAGUGAUUUCAGUUGGGAAGAAAAAAAUGACGGUACCAACAGAAGAAGUGACGGCUAAAUACGUG
rnacentral:rRNA from 1 species